rnacentral:misc_RNA from 1 species
GUCGCGACCUUUAACCACACACUCGAUACCACCCAGAAAUACCUUAUUCAACAAAGGCACGAGGGUCUUGCAGGAGAGGUUAAACAGGAAGCUACAACGAUGCCUCCAAAGCGAAAACUCCCACGUCGUGGGAGGGCCUUGGAGGGUGAGCUCAACCUGGAUGCUGUGUCCAACGAACGAAUCGAUGCGGUAACGGCAGAGCCGCUCGAUCCUGUCAAAUUUAUCGAAGUUCUUAGCCCGGAUAAAACACUGCGACUGUUUUACAACACAAGCACACUGAUUCGCAUUGCUGUCGACAAUGGCGGCUUUAUGCAGCCACCACACUUUCGGGAACCCAUGUCCAACGCUCUCCGAAAGCGAAUUGAAGAUAUCGAAGGCAAGACGUUUCACUUUGAGUCACGUAACACUGUCAUUCGAGGCGAUGAGGCCGGGGAUGAUGGCGAAAUUGAAGUUGUGCAUCGCCACGUCUACUUUGACCAGAUUAUGGACGAGUUCUACUUACUCAAUCCCGCAGAAGUCUAUGUAUGCCCAAUGUGUUACGAGCACUACUUGAAUACUCGAUUUCUGCCUGCUCGGAUAGAGGAAGGGCGUCACGUGAGGCACCUCCACAGCGGUCGACCCGUCGUCGACCCUCUGGAUGUUCUUUCGCACAUGCACGGCGAAGAUCCCAGCACUGGCGAUGCAGACAAUGGUGCACCGAUUGUCCUUGAUACAGUCUGGGACAAUGUACUCAUUCACAUUGUCUUCCGCAGGGCCGCACAGUGGAAAACACAUAUGGAGUCUCACCAUUGGGUGCGCGGCGUCAGCGCUGGAGACUAUCGGCUGCGCGACGUGCUUUGCACAUACUACAACGACUACAAUCAGUGGAAUGAAGAAAAGCACGAGGAGGAGGUGAGACUGUACGGUAGCGCGCGAAAGAAAGCCGCUUUAACUCUACAGCGCUAUUGGCACAUAAAUGCCAGCUACAAUCGGCUGCGGUACAACCGAGUGGUUGCCGCGGCCGAGUUGGCGGAAGGCCAUGCGGAGGCAGUCACAGAGAGCGCUUUUCCAAACGAGACGAUUGCCCACCACUUGAACCCCGAAAUCGACGAUGAAGAUGACUUCAUCGACGACGACACUGACGCAGAUGACUACGUGCCUCCGUACUCGCCUGAGCACGAGGAGUUUAGCGAUGAGGAGGAUUUCACAGACUCGUCAGAGGGAGAACCGCGUCAACAUUUCCGAAAGCGCAAUCGCGAGCGCUCGGCAGAAUCAGAGAUUGUCUCAUCCCACUCAAGCUCCUCUAGCACCACAACAUCUUCCACCGACUCAGAUUACGUUGCCGAGGUUGAGAAGCAACGAGCGCUAUUCAAGCGAGGGCUUCUUGCUGAAAGGGACUGCUAUUUUUCGCGCCUCUCUGCAGAAGACAGGCGCUUUUUCGAGAAAAGCCAACGCUCGAAUGUGGCGCCAAGCCAGCUCUAUGAUCCUUGCAUGCACCUGAAAAACACACCUUCAUCCACAUUGGACGACAAUAUUGACUGGGAGAACAUCGGCGAGGCACUCCCCAUCACGAACUGCGUGAAGCUUAAAAAGGAAAUGUCCGCUAGUCGUCCCCACGUAGCUGCAGAUCUAGAGCCGAUCAAAUCAAAAAUACUUCUCGACGAGGAUGAUGCGUCUCCGCUUUCCGUUGCUCAACCACAACUCACACCCAGCAGGCCGUCGCCGCGUCUGCUGUUGGAUGACGGUGAGUAGCGGCUGACGGCGGUGAUCACUGCACAAAAGCGCUGGUGCUGCGAAGCUCCCACUCCUUUUUCUUUAUUCAUCUGCGUAGCAUGAAUUCAUCCCAGAGUGAGUUUACUGAUGGGCUUUGCCUUGACGCAGACUAGGGUGGUAGCACCGCUGGCUUCAGCUUCUUUGCAUCUGCUGGAACUGCCACCAGUUGCGCCCACUCUUGUCGACGCACUUUGCGCUCCCCUACGUCUCAAAAUGAUGAUGCUAUUGCUUGCUUUUUUUCUUUGCGAUUAACGUGAAGGACUCUGGCGGAAGGGUGUACUUGUCAUCGUUCCAGCUGAUAUUCGAAAGCGAAAAAGGAGCGCAUAAGAGACAGUACGCUUUUCUUUCUUCCUGUUCUUGUCACAGAAGCACAGCUACGCCUUCGACAAGGUUCUUUACUUGAUCCAAAGCCGUGGAGACAAUCUCCGUUGGGCUAGGUCCUCAUCCCAAGACGACGACAAUCUCUGCACCUUCCUCGGCUGCCAUAUUCGACACCUCUCUCCGUUUCGCGAUACCUCAUGACGAACUACUUUUUCAUGUGCACAACGCCAUCUUUCAUUCAUCUCCUUCGCUGCUUUUGUUGUUUCCUUCCUCUUCGUAACGAAAACGUAUCGAAAG